GGAGCUUGCAUCCAUACACUUGUUCCGAGUAAACACACCACAAGAAGCCACAUGGGUGUGUAGAGUGAAAGGUUCUAUUCUUUCCAAAGGGCGGGGCUUCCAGACACACCUGUCACGGAUCAGAACUUAAUCCUGUACAUUAGUGACAGGAACGUGUCCUGGCUUAAAGUGGAAGUAAUCUUUUAGAAAGGAUGAUGCUAGAAAACAGACCAGCCAGAUGGAAUGGCUUAUGCAUGGGGGCAAGCAAGCUGUAAAAGUUGGCAGUCACCUGCAAGACAGAGAUAGAAGAGGGGAAGAUACACCAUUUGAGCAAAGCAGGCAUAGAAGUGGAUAAGCAGCCACAUGAUGGGACAGACUUAGAGAAAGAGCAAAAAAGCACAAAGAAUCAGCAAGGCAUACUUAGUCUCUGGCCAGCAUCUGAGAGAAAGAGAAGAGGAAGGAUAAAUCAUGCCUUUCUGCCAGGCAGUAAAAGGUAGAUAGAACUGGCUGCCAGGGAUCUCAGACGGCCAACCAGCUUCUGAGGUGAGCCUGGCCAGGAUGAAGAAAGGCGUGAGAAGUACACCAUGCCAAAGCCAUGCACUGGACUUCAAUGGACGCUGUGGCUGGACACCCGUGACAGCGUGUUUACUGCAGCUGGCUGUGCUGUGGGCCU